rnacentral:rRNA from 1 species
ACGAACGCUGGCGGCGUGCUUAACACAUGCAAGUCGAACGGAAAGGCCCUGCUUUUGUGGGGUGCUCGCGUGGCGAACGGGUGAGUAACACGUGAGUAACCUGCCCUUGACUUUGGGUUAACUUCAGGAAACUGGGGCUAAUACCGGAUAGGAGCUCCUGCUGCAUGGUGGGGGUUGGAAAGUUUCGGCGGUUGGGGAUGGACUCGCGGCUUAUCAGCUUGUUGGUGGGGUAGUGGCUUACCAAGGCUUUGACGGGUAGCCGGCCUGAGAGGGUGACCGGCCACAUUGGGACUGAGAUACGGCCCAGACUCCUACGGGAGGCAGCAGUGGGGAAUAUUGCACAAUGGGCGGAAGCCUGAUGCAGCAACGCCGCGUGCGGGAUGACGGCCUUCGGGUUGUAAACCGCUUUCGCCUGUGACGAAGCGUGAGUGACGGUAAUGGGUAAAGAAGCACCGGCUAACUACGUG